AAAGACGAUGCAAGCAGUGAACAAGAAAAUGGAUCCACAGAAGACACUACAAACAAUGCAGAAUUUCCAGAAGGAAAACAUGAAAAUGGAAAUGACUGAAGAAAUGAUCAACGACACCCUGGAUGACAUCUUUGAUGGCUCUGAUGAUGAAGAGGAAAGCCAGGACAUCGUGAAUCAAGUUCUUGAUGAAAUCGGAAUUGAAAUCUCUGGAAAGAUGGCCAAAGCCCCAUCGGCUGCCAGAAGUUUGCCAUCUGCUUCUACUUCAAAGGCUACAAUUUCUGAUGAAGAGAUUGAACGGCAGCUCAAAGCUUUGGGGGUAGAUUAGAACAAAAAGCCAUACGUACUGUUCUCACUUUGGCCUAAAGUGAGUCCGGUGUAGAUUCUUUUUACAAAAUACAUUCAUUUUACAAAAAUGAAGACCAUGAGUGAACAGCUAUUUUCUGACCCAUGGCUAUUCUGAAUCCUUUGCCAAAGAAUGCCAGUGAUGCAAAACACAGGGACACUUUGGGCUUUAACCAGAGUCACUGCAGCCUGAGACCUGUGCAAGCUGAGUUCUUUUCUGCAUGGCAUAGGGAGAUGGUGUCACUACUUAGUGUUGGGUUGUGUUCUAAAUUGUUUUACACUGAAAUCAGAAUUCAUGUUAAAUGCCAUUAGGCAUCAACUUAAAGAGACUUGUAAAAAUAUUAAAGGUAUACCGUUAAUUCUGUAUCUGUCGCUUGUCCUUUGUAGACACUUAUGUUAGGGCCACAGGCAGUGCAGCUGCCAAAUUAUUUUUAAACCAUCUAAAAGAAGAGUGCUAUUUAAACAUCUGUCUUAAAGACUGUCAUGAGCUUUUACUUUUCUUCCAUUUUUCCGCCUUUGGGAGAACAUUCUAGUUGGUAAGUUUAUUACCUUUCAAAAUGUGCUUGGCACCUGCCUUAAACAUAUUGUGCACAUCUUUAAAUUAAUUUACCUGGCAAAAACAAUUACAUUUUAAAAUAAAAUUGAGAGUUACCCAAACAGUUACCCAAUCUGUCUUACAAAGCUUAUAAAAGUGAAUUGGAUAUAAUUAGCCAAAUGAAGAAAGAAGACACUGAAUUAAUAACACUUUACAGUGAUGAAAAUAUACUUGGUCUUUCUUCCAAGAACUGAGAUUUUCUCUGUAUGAAUUAUAAGUCUGUGCUGGAAUUUUGGAUUGCAUUAAUAUACACAUUAAACUCUGUAAAUGAAGCCAUUCUUGUAAAGGAAACACUGCUACCAUGACAGUACUGGAUCUAGAUUUCUAAAGAAAAUGUUUCUGUUUUGUCGUGGUUUGGGUAAUAAACUGCAACUUUGUCAGAAGUUACCGCCUCACGUUCAGCACUGUGUGAGCAGCAUUUGAAGGUGAGAGAGCUGUGCCCUGGAGAGAGGAGGAAAGGAGGAGGCCAUAGAGUUAGAAGUGGAAAGUGAGGUAGGUUCAUUCUGAAGGACCGUGUCCCAGCAGAAGCUAUAGAAAUCCUGAUCAGUGGAAACUGGCUAACCUGGAGUUGGACCUCUGGACUCCGUUAGCAAACGCAGAUGUGCACUACGACGUUAAAGGAGACACCAAUAGGUGCGAAGAGCAGAGGCUCGGCCGUAGACUCCAUAACGGUUCUGUGUUCAGUGCUGACAUCUACAGUGUCCAGUUCUCAUUGCUCCUGAGUGGGAAUGGGUCCAAACACUGUACUGUAUCAUGGGGUAUUACACCCAAACAUGGUUUGGGCGUACAUUAUAACGUUGUCUAACCUAAGUCACUGUUUUGUUUACUUGUGACAGUUGAGUUUUAAUAUUAUUUUGUCUUUUUUUAAAAAAACUCAAUAAAGAUUAUUGCUCUUAUCCUUUUUUCCUUAAA
rnacentral:lncRNA from 1 species